rnacentral:ncRNA from 1 species
GGUCAAGUUAUUAAGGGCGUAGGGCGGAUGCCUUGGCACCAAGAGCCGAUGAAGGACGUGGUAAGCUGCGAUAAGCUUCGGGGAGGCGCAAGCAACCUUUGAUCCGAAGAUUUCCGAAUGGGGAAACCCAUCUAGAGUAAUGUCUAGAUAUCCUUAGAUGAAUACAUAGUCUAAGGAGGGGAACCAGGGGAACUGAAACAUCUAAGUACCCUGAGGAGUAGAAAGAAAAUUCGAUUCCCUAAGUAGCGGCGAGCGAAAUGGGAACAGCCCAAACCUAUAAAGCUUGCUUUAUAGGGGUUGUGGACAUAACACAAAAGAGUAAACUUUCGUAUUCGAAUAGAUCUGGAAAGGUCAACCAUAGAAGGUAACAGUCCUGUAGAUUAAACGAAAGAGCUUAAGUUAUGAUCCAGAGUACCACGGGACACGUGAAACCCUGUGGGAAGCAGGGGGGACCACCCCCCAAGGCUAAAUACUACUUGGUGACCGAUAGCGCAUAGUACCGUGAGGGAAAGGUGAAAAGAACCCCGGGAGGGGAGUGAAAUAGAACCUGAAACCCUACGCCUACAAACUGUGGAAGCACAUUUUUAGUGUGACCGCGUACUUUUUGUAGAACGGGCCAACGAGUUACGGUAAGUAGCAAGGUUAAGGACUUAAGGUCUGGAGCCGCAGCGAAAGCGAGUCUUAAACGGGCGUUUAAGUUACUUGCCGUAGACCCGAAACCAGGCGACCUACCCAUGGACAGGAUGAAGCGAAAGUAAAAUUUCGUGGAGGUCCGAACCCACGCACGUUGAAAAGUGCGGGGAUGAGCUGUGGGUAGCGGUGAAAUUCCAAUCGAGCCUGGAGAUAGCUGGUUCUCCCCGAAAUAGCUUUAGGGCUAGCCUCGAGCGUAGAGAAAAGGAGGUAGAGCACUGACUGUCCUAGGGGCCCUUUGGGUUACCGAAGACUAUCAAACUCCGAAUGCCUUAUUCUUUUACUCGGGAGUCAGACUAUGGGUGAUAAGAUUCAUAGUCGAAAGGGAAACAGCCCAGACCGUCAGCUAAGGUCCCUAAGUAUGAGUUAAGUGGAAAAGGAUGUGGGAUUGCACAGACAACCAGGAUGUUGGCUUAGAAGCAGCCACUCAUUUAAAGAGUGCGUAAUAGCUCACUGGUCGAGUGAUCCUGCGCCGAAAAUUACCGGGGCUAAAACUCAUCACCGAAGCUACGGCAUCCGUAAGGAUGGGUAGGGGAGCAUUCUCUAAGGGUUGAAGCUAAACCGUAAGGAUUGGUGGACUUUAGAGAAGAGAGAAUGUUGGCAUGAGUAGCGAGACGUGGGUGAGAAUCCCACGGGCCGAAAACCUAAGGUUUCCUGAGGAAGGUUCGUCCGCUCAGGGUUAGUCGGGACCUAAGCCGAGGCCAUUUGGCGUAGGCGAUGGACAACAGGUUGAGAUUCCUGUACCACCAAUUACCGUUUGAGGAAUGGGAUGACGCAGAAGGAUAGGCUAUCCUACCGCUGGUCGCGUAGGUCCAAGCAUUGAGGGAGUUAAGAUAGGCAAAUCCGUCUUAACAUAUCCUAGGAUGUGAUGGGGAGCGAAAU